rnacentral:rRNA from 1 species
AUACGGAGGGUGCAAGCGUUAUGCGGAUUUACUGGGUUUAAAGGGUGCGCAGGCGGUAAUAUAAGUCAGUGGUGAAAGCCUACAGCUCAACUGUAGAACUGCCAUUGAAACUGUAUUACUUGAGUAUGGUAGAGGUAGGCGGAAUACAACAUGUAGCGGUGAAAUGCAUAGAUAUGUUGUAGAACACCGAUUGCGAAGGCAGCUUACUAAACCAUUACUGACGCUCAGGCACGAAAGCGUGGGGAGCGAACGGGAUUAGAAACCCUAGUAGUCC